UACAGAGGUCUCAAGCGUUGUUCGGAUUCAUUGGGCGUAAAGGGUGCGUAGGCGGCGCGGUAAGUCGGGUGUGAAAUCUCGGAGCUUAACUCCGAAACUGCAUUCGAUACUGCCGUGCUUGAGGACUGGAGAGGAGACUGGAAUUUACGGUGUAGCGGUGAAAUGCGUAGAUAUCGUAAGGAAGACCAGUGGCGAAGGCGGGUCUCUGGGCCGGAACUGACGCUGAGGAGCGAAAGCGUGGGGAGCAAACAGG
rnacentral:rRNA from 1 species